rnacentral:misc_RNA from 1 species
GAUGAAGAACGUAGCGAAAUGCGAUAAGUAAUGUGAAUUGCAGAAUUCAGUGAAUCAUCGAAUCUUUGAACGCACAUUGCGCCCCUUGGUAUCCCGAGGGGCAUGCCUGUUCGAGCGUCAUUUCACCACUCAAGCCUGGCUUGGUGUUGGGCGACGUCCCCUUUAGGGACGCGCCUCGAAACGCUCGGCGGCGUGGCACCGGCUUUAAGCGUAGCAGAAUCUUUCGCUUUGGAAGUCGGGGCCCCGCCUGCCGGAAUACCUACUCGUAAGGUUGACCUCGGAUCAGGUAGGAAUACCCGCUGAACUUAAGCAUAUCAAUAAGCGGAGGA